GUAGCAAGUCAAAGAAUGAGUCACCUCACAAGGGGGAAAAGGAAAGAAAGCUUUUAUCUCCCAGUGGAUUGGAGAUAAUCUCUCUACCUGCGUAUAAACAGCUCUUCACCAUGCCGCCUUUUCUCCAGGGGAAGGAAGCUGUUUUAAAUUUGUCUGUAAAACAGAUACUAAAUUGUCACACCUCCCAAGCCUCUCUGCCUGGGCCCAAUAAAGGUAGCAGGCAAAAGGUCUUUGACUUUCAUGGUAACUUGAUUGGGCCCCUGUGAGUAAACACAGUAGUCUAGGCUGUAUAUGCUGUACGAGCUGGCUGGGAGAAAGGGAUUGCCAGAUUCUCCUUGGAGGCCUGGAAAAUCUGUGCCCAAACCAAACAUACCUGCUAUUUUACUGUAAAAUGGCAUACACCCUUAUGUGGACAGAGUUACAUUGGUAAUGUUCUAUCGCUAUACAGAAAACACAAGCUAAAGCAGUGCUAAAGGUGCCACAGCCUCAGUGCUUAUUUUCCUCUCCAGCGUGGGAAUAACAUCUGCUAGUGUAACGGCAUCUGCAGGAGUGGUAGGCCAGUCUGAAUACACCUUUCUCAACCAUAUCUGCACUGAUAACCACUUACAGACACGCUGCUAUGGAGGCUGUGUUAAGCAGCCCUUCUUUACAGACCCCAGCCACCUAGAGGGAAGUAAGGCCAUAGGUCUUCUGCAUCUGACUACUUUUCAUUAUUCUUGAUCGGUGAUCACUUUACAAGGGGCAUGAAGAGAGACCACACCUCUCUUCUAUGAAAGGAUACGCACCGAAGAUGGAUGGGGCCAAGGACUUUGCCUCAUGCCUGCUCUGCACCUCAGAAGGAGCAGCUGGAGGAAAAUCCCAUUUCCCACUUUUUUCAGUAUGCUGAGGCAGUUCUUGUUUCUCAACAUGUCACAGAUAAACCAAGGUGCCUAAACUAAUGAAGUAUUUCACAGUCCAGUGCUUAGAGUAAUUCUGCGUCAACAUGACAUUCCUCUACUACACCUUCCCUUGAGACUUUGCACAUGAUGGUGUGGGGAGAAAGGGGGAUUCACUGAUGUUUGCCUAUAUUCUCAUGCCUUGUCUCAAUUUGGUAACACAAUCGUGGUCUCUUCCUGCCACAG